rnacentral:rRNA from 1 species
AAAUUGAAGAGUUUGAUCAUGGCUCAGAUUGAACGCUGGCGGCAGGCCUAACACAUGCAAGUCGAGCGGAAACGAGUUAUCAGAACCUUCGGGGGAC